rnacentral:rRNA from 1 species
UACAGAGGUCUCAAGCGUUGUUCGGAUUCAUUGGGCGUAAAGGGUGCGUAGGUGGCGAGGCAAGUCAGUUGUGAAAUCUCCGGGCUUAACUCGGAAAGGUCAACUGAUACUGUGCGACUAGAGUGCAGAAGGGGCAACUGGAAUUCUCGGUGUAGCGGUGAAAUGCGUAGAUAUCGAGAGGAACACCUGCGGCGAAGGCGGGUUGCUGGGCUGACACUGACGCUGAUGCGCGAAAGCCAGGGGAGCGAACGGG